AAGUCGUAACAAGGUAUCCGUAGGUGAACCUGCGGAUGGAUCAUUAAACAAAUCUACGUAUCAACCAACCGCGAACUUUGUUUUUUCCAACUUGCGCUGUCAGAUUUGUUCUACGAAAGUAGCCCAAAUAUGAUAUCAAGGUGGAAACUUAUUAACCCAUUGUAUUAUCAUCCCCAGUUAUUUUAUUUCUUUGUCGCGGCCUAACGGCGGACUUUCUAGUAAGAAAUUUUUGUACAACUCUUAACGAUGGAUAUCUAGGCUCUCG
rnacentral:misc_RNA from 1 species